UACGUAGGGGGCUAGCGUUGUCCGGAAUCAUUGGGCGUAAAGAGCGUGUAGGCGGCCCGGUAAGUCCGCUGUAAAAGUCAAAGGCUCAACCUUUGAAUGUCAGUGGAUACUGCCGGGCUAGAGUCCGGAAGAGGCGAGUGGAACUCCUGGUGUAGAGGUGAAAUUCGUAGAUAUCAGGAGGAACACCGGUGGCGAAGGCGGCUACCUGGACGGUCACUGACGCUGAGACGCGAAAGCGUGGGGAGCAAACAGG
rnacentral:rRNA from 1 species